rnacentral:rRNA from 1 species
AAAUUGAAGAGUUUGAUCAUGGCUCAGAUUGAACGCUGGCGGCAGGCCUAACACAUGCAAGUCGAACGGUAACAGGAAACAGCUUGCUGUUUCGCUGACGAGUGGCGGACGGGUGAGUAAUGUCUGGGAAACUGCCCGAUGGAGGGGGAUAACUACUGGAAACGGUAGCUAAUACCGCAUAACGUCGCAAGACCAAAGAGGGGGACCUUCGGGCCUCUUGCUAUCGGAUGUGCCCAGAUGGGAUUAGCUAGUAGGUGGGGUA